UUAAAAAGCUCGUAGUUGAAUUUCGGGAUCAAUGUUUCGGUCAUGCCGUUGGUAUGUACUGAUAUUAUUGGUUUCUCACCUUCUAAAGAACCGUAAUGCCAUUAAUUUGGUGUCACGGGGAAUUAGGACUGUUACCUUGAAAAAAUUAGAGUGUUUAAAGCAGGCUCACGCUUGAAUACAUUAGCAUGGAAUAAUGAAAUAGGACAUCCGAUUCUAUUUUGUUGGUUUCUAGGAUCGAUGUAAUGAUUAAUAGGGAUAGUUGGGGG
rnacentral:rRNA from 1 species